rnacentral:rRNA from 1 species
GUGAGGUCCGUACCAGCAGCCGGGGGAGUACGAACGGUGGGAACAGUAUGCGGGAGGACUGGGCUUAAAGGGGGGGUGGGCGGGCGGGCCAGGGAGGGGUGAAAGCCCACGGCUCAACCGUGGAAGUGCCUUUGAUACUGCGGACCUCGAGGGAGGUAGGGGCGUGCGGAACGUCCGGGGGAGCGGUGAAAUGCGUAGAUAUCGGAAGGAACACCGGUGGCGAAAGCGGCGCGCUGGACCUCUUCUGACGCUGAGGCGCGAAAGCCAGGGGAGCAAACGGGAUUAGAUACCCCUGUAGUC